CAACUACUCCCUCUGUCCCAAAUUUCUUGUCUUAGAUUUGUCUAGAUACGGAUGUAUCUAAUACUAAAAUGUGACUUGAUACAUCCGUAUCUAGACAAAUCUAAGACAAGAAUUUUGGGAAGGAGGGAGUACUUU
rnacentral:pre_miRNA from 1 species